rnacentral:rRNA from 1 species
UACAGAGGGGGCAAGCGUUAUUCGGAAUUAUUGGGCGUAAAGGGCGCGUAGGCGGCGAUUCAAGUGACGGGUGAAAGCCCUCGGCUCAACCGAGGAACUGCGCUCCAAACUACUUGACUUGAGGAGGCUAGAGGUAAGCGGAACUGAUGGUGGAGCGGUGAAAUGCGUUGAUAUCAUCAGGAACACCGGAGGCGAAGGCGGCUUACUGGGGCCUUUCUGACGCUGAGGAACGGAAAGCCAGGGGAGACGAACGGG